rnacentral:rRNA from 1 species
AUUGAACGCUGGCGGCAUGCCUUACACAUGCAAGUCGAACGGUAACAGGUCUUCGGAUGCUGACGAGUGGCGAACGGGUGAGUAAUACAUCGGAACGUGCCCAGACGUGGGGGAUAACGAGGCGAAAGCUUUGCUAAUACCGCAUACGAUCUAAGGAGGAAAGCAGGGGACCGCAAGGCCUUGCGCGUUUGGAGCGGCCGAUGGCAGAUUAGGUAGUUGGUGGGAUAAAAGCUUACCAAGCCGACGAUCUGUAGCUGGUCUGAGAGGACGACCAGCCACACUGGGACUGAGACACGGCCCAGACUCCUACGGGAGGCAGCAGUGGGGAAUUUUGGACAAUGGGCGAAAGCCUGAUCCAGCAAUGCCGCGUGCAGGAUGAAGGCCUUCGGGUUGUAAACUGCUUUUGUACGGAACGAAAAGGCUCUGGCUAAUACCUGGGGCACAUGACGGUACCGUAAGAAUAAGCACCGGCUAACUACGUG